GCCUCGUUUGAUCGAGUGUCGGCU
rnacentral:rRNA from 1 species